rnacentral:rRNA from 1 species
CUGCUGCCUUCCGUAGGAGUUUGGGCCGUGUCUCAGUCCCAAUGUGGCCGUCCACCCUCUCAGGCCGGCUACUGAUCGUCGCUUUGGUAGGCCGUUACCCUGCCAACUGGCUAAUCAGACGCGGGUCCAUCGCAUACCACCUCGGUUUUUCACACUGGACCAUGCGGUCCCGUGCGCUUAUGCGGUAUUAGCACCUGUUUCCAGGUGUUAUCCCCCGGUAUACGGCAGGUUACCCACGCGUUACUCACCCGUCCGCCACUAACUUAA